CAGGACUCGCAAGACCCCUACAACCCUGUGAACUUAACUAUAAGCACGUUGCUUCGGCGGGUGUCUCGGCGAGGGUCCUCCCUCCCCGGGGCGCUAAGCCCGCCGGCAGCCUACUAUACUCUGUCUCUUUGCGUUGGCAUCUCGAGUACAAUCAAACAAGUUA
rnacentral:misc_RNA from 1 species